AAAUGCGAUAAUUAAUGUGAAUUGCAGAAUUCAGUGAAUCAUCGAGUCUUUGAACGCACAUUGCGCCCCCUGGUAUUCCGGGGGGCAUGCCUGUCCGAGCGUCAUUGCUGCCCUCAAGCACGGCUUGUGUGUUGGGCUUCCGUCCCUUGCAACGGGGACGGGCCCAAAAGGCAGUGGCGGCACCAUGUCUGGUCCUCGAGCGUAUGGGGCUUUGUCACCCGCUCCCGUAGGUCCAGCUGGCAGCUAGCCUCGCAACCAAUCUUUUUAACCAGGUUGACCUCGGAUCAGGUAGGGAUACCCGCUGAACUUAAGC
rnacentral:misc_RNA from 1 species